rnacentral:rRNA from 1 species
CGCUGGCGGCGUGCCUAACACAUGCAAGUCGAGCGAUGAAGCUUCUUCGGAAGUGGAUUAGUGGCAAACGGGUGAGUAACGCGUAGGCAACCUGCCCUCAAGAUGGGACAACGGCCCGAAAGGACCGCUAAUACCGAAUGAUGUGCAACUACCGCAUGGUAGAUGCACCAAAGGCGGAGCAAUCCGUCACUUGAGGAUGGGCCUGCGUCUGAUUAGCUGGUUGGUGAGGUAACGGCCCACCAAGGCGACGAUCAGUAGCCGGUCUGAGAGGAUGAACGGCCACAUUGGGACUGAGACACGGCCCAGACUCCUACGGGAGGCAGCAGUGGGGAAUCUUCCGCAAUGGACGAAAGUCUGACGGAGCAACGCCGCGUGAACGAUGACGGCCUUCGGGUUGUAAAGUUCUGUUAUACGGGACGAAUGGCGUAGCGGUCAAUACCCGUUACGAGUGACGGUACCGUAAGAGAAAGCCACGGCUAACUACGUG